GACGAACGCUGGCGGCGUGCUUAACACAUGCAAGUCGAACGGUGAACCUGCUUCGGUGGGGGAUCAGUGGCGAACGGGUGAGUAACACGUGGGCAACCUGCCCCUGGCUCUGGGAUAACUCCAAGAAAUUGGGGCUAAUACCGGAUAUGACCGCUGACCGCAUGGUCUGGUGGUGGAAAGAUUUAUCGGCUGGGGAAGGGCCCGCGGCCUAUCAGCUUGUUGGUGGGGUAGUGGCCUACCAAGGCGACGACGGGUAGCCGGCCUGAGAGGGUAACCGGUCACACUGGGACUGAGACACGGCCCAGACUCCUACGGGAGGCAGCAGUGGGGAAUAUUGCGCAAUGGGCGGAAGCCUGACGCAGCGACGCCGCGUGGGGGAUGACGGCCUUCGGGUUGUAAACCUCUUUCAGCAGGGACGAAGCGAAAGUGACGGUACCUGCAGAAGAAGCACCGGCCAACUACGUGCCAGCCGCCGCUGUAACAC
rnacentral:rRNA from 1 species